ACCUCCUGGGGAUCUUGUUAUAAUGCAGAUUCUGACCCAGAAUGUCUGAAGUUGGACCUGAGAUUCUGCAUUUCUAGCAAGCUCCCAGGAGAUGUCAG
rnacentral:pre_miRNA from 1 species